rnacentral:RNase_P_RNA from 1 species
ACCGCAGGCCGCCUUAUCGCUGUUCCGUCAGGAAUGGAGGAAAGUCCGGGCACCAAAGGGCAGCAUAGCGGGUAACGCCCGUCACGUCGGUUCGCCGACGGAGGACAAGUGCAACAGAAAGUAUGUACAGUUCGGCUGUAGUGAAACCAGGUAAACUCUAUGCGGUGAAAUGCCAAGUAUACCGACAGUUAAGGGCGGCUCGCUCGUUGUCGGAGGGUAGGCAGAUAGAAUCGUGCAGCAAUGUCCGAUCCAGAUAAAUGAUAAGGCUUUCGUUUCGAGAGACAGAACCCGGCUUACAGGCCUGCUUUUUUU